GGUUGAUCCUGCCAGUGAUCAUAUGCUUGUCUCAAAGCUUAAGCCAUGCAAGUCUAAGUUCAGGCUUGUUCCUUUCGGGGAGCGAGCCGAAACUGCGAACGGCUCAUUAGUCAGAUAAGGUUCCUUGGCUAAAAGCGGGUCGGUUUUAAUGGAUAACUGUGGUAAUUCUAGAGCUAAUACAUGCAACGCACCGUGGUCCCCGUAGUCUUCUCGUCUCGGGGAAACGGCAUUUAUUCUCUGGACCAGAUCGCCCUAGCCUGCGAAGCUACCGUCAAAAGUAGCGACGGGGCGAAGCGACAAGUGUUGAAAUCCGAAUAACUGUGCCGAUCGCGGGGUCUUUCCGGGCCCCCGACGACUUUGCCAUGAAGUGUCUGUCCCAUCAAUUGGCGAUGGUCGGCGACCUGCCUACCACGGUGUUGACGGGUAACGGGGAAUCAGGGUUCGAUUCCGGAGAGGGAGCCUGCGAAACGGCUACCACCUCCAAGGAGGGCAGCAGGCGCGCAACUUACCCAAUCCCGACACGGGGAGGUAGUGACGAAAAAUAACGUGGCGGGGCCCUUUCGUGGUCGCCGCGGNCGGAAUGAGCGCAAUUUAAAAGAGUGUGCGAGGAGCUAUUGGAGGGCAAGCCUGGUGCCAGCAGCCGCGGUAAUUCCAGCUCCAAUAGCCUAUAUCGGAGUUGCUGCGGUUAAAAAGCUCGUCGUUGGAUCUCGGAGGCGGCACGGUCGGGCGCGAUACGCUGCGGGUCCGACCGGCGAUUUCUCGGCCGUCCCUAACCAGCGCGCGGGGCGAGGUGGACUUCGCGGUCCUGCCUCGUUUUUCUCCUUCACGGGAGAGAACCCGCCGCAUUUUCUGUCUACCUUGAAAAAAUUAGAGUGCUAAAGGCAGGCUAAAACCCCGAGCCUGAAUAUUUCGUGCAUGGAAUAAGCGGGGAUGCUCUUUUCCGGAGGGCGGUCCGACCGACUGGCGACGUCGCUUUCGCUGUCGGUUUCGCCGGAGAGCUAGGAUUCGAGAGGAACGGUGGGGGGCGAGCGUACCGGGCGGGGAGAGGUGAAAUUUUGUGAUCCGCUCGGGACGACUCGAAGCGAAAGCGCUGGCCCCGGACGUCUUCCUUAAUCCAGAACGAAGGUGGGUGGAGCAAAGACGAUCAGAUACCGUCGUAGUACCGACGGUAAACGCUGCCGACCGGGCCGCGGACGAGGCUCGAGAACAGCGGUUAUGGACCCGUCCGUGGCGGCUUCGGGCAACCUGAGAGUUUACGGGUUCCGGGGGUAGUAUGGUCGCAAGGCUGAAACUUGAAGGAAUUGACGGAAGGGCACCACAAGGAGUGGAGCCUGCGGCUUAAUUUGACUCAACACGGGGCAACUUACCCGUCCGGACAUCGUCAGGAUG
rnacentral:ncRNA from 1 species